CAAAAAACAAAUCAAAAUUUUAUUAAAUCAAACCGAAAAAACACACUUUUUUCACAAAGUUAUUAGAAAUUAUAUAGAUCUUACUCUUAAGCUCACACUACUUAAGUAGCCUAAAUAAGAAAAUCAAACUACAAAAAUGGAAGUCAUCAAGCCCUAUGAUAUCUUCCUUCCUAGUUCACACCACUUCAACUGCAUUACGACAUAAACUCGGAAUAUUUCCCAGUAAAUCAACAGUAAGCAUCGAUGCCUUGGGCCGCGAUAAUCGAUUCGAAUAACAAUGUUCUUCAGCUGACAAUGGAGAUUUAGAAGUAGUACUCAUACGUUCACAUGUUUUAAGCCACUUAGCUUGCACGUAUUUUUGUUUCCUCCAUGGCGCAAUAUGCAUUUUCUUAUCCUUCAUACACUUCUUAGCACCAUUGCACAAAAUCUUUAUUACUGACAAUAAUCUCUCUAUUUUCCCUACAAACACUUCUGGUAGGCAUUUCACUAGUCGAUUGUAUUCUUCACUUGCUUUCGCUAAUUCAAACUCCCCUCGAAAAUUUAAUUCGAUAAUUAUCCUUACUUCUCCCUUCAUGGUGCUCGAAUUGUCUAUCACGUCUAUAAAUGUAUGUUCACCUGAGGGAAUAUCUGGUGAACUCUUCCACUUUGACUUGCAAAUUGCUGAGUUGAAACCAGCAUUUUGUAGGCUAGUGCACACCUCCUUCAUCAGACAAUUUGGACAACUAGUAGUAAUACUAAUAUUAUUCACCAUUUUACAGCUGCAAUUUUUUGAUGCUUCUUUUAAGGUUUGUUUGGUAAUGCUUCGGAUUUGUGAUUCUAAUGUUGUCGUCCGGCAUAAUACUGAUUGUAAAAGCUGACGUUGAGUUUCCCAAAAUUGAUUAUAUUCAACAUUUUCUUUCUCUUCAUUUUCAUCUUCAACAUAAACAUCAUCAGUAACACUUUCUGUUGACGAACCCUCCUCAUCAAGAAAACUAAAAAUAGUAUCAGAAAUAUUUAUGGCAUGGUCGCCGGAAAAUUCACUUUCCCGGUUGUGACACGUCAAAAUCCGGUGACUUAGAGGUCUCCUAGCCAUUACUCCGACCAUUAUUCCCUCUAAAUUCUUUAAUACGAUAAAUUAAAAAA
rnacentral:misc_RNA from 1 species